GAUGAACGCUGGCGGCGUGCUUAAUACAUGCAAGUCGAGCGAACAGACGAGGAGCUUGCUCCUCUGACGUUAGCGGCGGACGGGUGAGUAACACGUGGAUAACCUACCUAUAAGACUGGGAUAACUUCGGGAAACCGGAGCUAAUACCGGAUAACAUGUUGAACCGCAUGGUUCAACAGUGAAAGACGGUCUUGCUGUCACUUAUAGAUGGAUCCGCGCCGCAUUAGCUAGUUGGUAAGGUAACGGCUUACCAAGGCAACGAUGCGUAGCCGACCUGAGAGGGUGAUCGGCCACACUGGAACUGAGACACGGUCCAGACUCCUACGGGAGGCAGCAGUAGGGAAUCUUCCGCAAUGGGCGAAAGCCUGACGGAGCAACGCCGCGUGAGUGAAGAAGGUCUUCGGAUCGUAAAACUCUGUUAUUAGGGAAGAACAAAUGUGUAAGUAACUAUGCACGUCCUGACGGUACCUAAUCAGAAAGCCACGGCUAACUACGUG
rnacentral:rRNA from 1 species